CCGCACAAGCGGUGGAGCAUGUGGUUUAAUUCGAAGCAACGCGCAGAACCUUACCAGGUCUUGACAUCCACGGAACCCUGGUGAAAGCCGGGGGUGCCCGCAAGGGAGCCGUGAGACAGGUGCUGCAUGGUCGUCGUCAGCUCGUGUCGUGAGAUGUUGGGUUAAGUCCCGCAACGAGCGCAACCCUUGUUGCUAGUUGCCAUCAGUUCGGCUGGGCACUCUAGCGAGACUGCCUACGAAAGUAGGAGGAAGGCGGGGAUGACGUCUGAUCCGCAUGGCCCUUACGACCUGGGCGACACACGUGCUACAAUGCCUGCCACAAAGCGCUGCGACCCGGCAACGGGAAGCCAAUCGCAUAAAAGCAGGCUCAGUUCGGAUUGGGGUCUGCAACUCGACCCCAUGAAGCUGGAAUCGCUAGUAAUCGCGGAUCAGCCAUGCCGCGGUGAAUACGUUCCCGGGCCUUGUACACACCGCCCGUCAAGCCAUGGGAGUGGGUUUUGCCUGAAGUCGCCGGGAGCCACAGGCAGGCGCCUAGGGUAAGGCUCAUGACUGGGGCUAAG
rnacentral:rRNA from 1 species